CCCUAAAUCUUUUGUAUCCCUAGUGAAUAAAUGUUUUUGUCUAUCUAAUAUCAUCAUCUUUUUUUUGUCUAAACUUUCACCAAUUACCUUACCUAAACCCUCUAAUUCCCGAUUCAAUGCUAUUUAUUUUAUGCAAUACGUGAAAUGUCA